AGCCCUGAGGUGAAAGAUUCAUGUCGAAUUGCAAAUUCGAAGAUGCAGCUUCAAUCCUGCCUGGGCUU
rnacentral:tRNA from 1 species